GGCACAAAACAUAAGAAGGGAAUAUAGAGAGGAAGAGAGGAGUAGUCGAGAUAGAGAAAAUAGAUUUUUUUUUUUAAAAAUGUCUUUUGUUUUCAGUUUUCUUUUCAUUUUCUUUCUUUUGAUAGUAGUAGUGAGUAGAAUAGGUGUUCUUAGGGGAAUUAGAAAAGGUUUUUGAUGGAAAAUUGAGGAGAAAUUUUCGCUUAUUUCAUGU
rnacentral:ribozyme from 1 species